rnacentral:sRNA from 1 species
AGCUUGUUGUGACUGGAGAGCUGGCUGGACAGGGAGGGAGAUGGGACGGCUCAGUUUCCAAGUUCUUCUCAGCCCCUCCUAGAGGGCUUCACUGGAGGAAGAGGACAGGUACCAAGCCAGCUGCCUCCAUUGACCCAUGGGGGGUGCCCACUGGAGCCAGCACACAAUCUGUCCCCAAGAACUCGGACCCUUGGGCAGUUUCACAGCAGCCUGCCUCCAGUGCUGGGAAAACAGCUGCUGACGCAUGGGGCGCAGUCUCCACUACCAAGCCCGUGUCUGUCUCUGGGUCCUUUGAGCUCUUCAGUAAUCUGAAUGGUACAAUUAAAGACGACUUUUCUGAAUUUGACAACCUUCGGACUUCAAAAAAAACAGCCGAAUCUGUGACCUCUCUGCCAUCCCAUAACAAUGGAACUACCAGCCCUGACCCCUUUGAGUCUCAACCCCUGACCGUCGCCUCAAGCAAGCCCAGCAGUGCCCGGAAAACACCUGAGUC